UUGUAUUGAGCUCUCUUCCAUAGAGUCUACUGUUCGUUUACUGAGAUCAAUCAGCUCAAACUCGAACCCUAGAUUUUGAAGCUUUCGUGCUAAUGAAUUGAUUUCAUCAACCCAAUUCGAAUCAUCGCUUCCGAGUAAGCAGAUCUCUCUCCCUUCCUUCACCUAUUGAGUGUUGAUUGGUUUCAGAAUCUGAUUGAAAGAAUGUUACUUUAUGACAGUAUAAGAGAAAUUUAGAAGUACCCAUGUGUUGAAUUCAGGAUGAAUGCCAUCAAGCAUGAGCUGCAAGGACAAUGUAUGAUCUUCCUCCCAAAGCUCAUCUUCUCUGGAAGCUGUAAAUGGAUACGCUUUACCACCCCA
rnacentral:lncRNA from 1 species